GGAGCCGCGGCCGUUUUGUGCAGACAAAGCGUCUCCCGUGCUUAAUUUGCAGGCGCGGCGGAGGGAAAUGUAGGACCUCAAGUGUGGCUCCCGGUAACAGCCCUUGACAUCUAGCUGCAUCCUCUUUCCCCUAAAAUGCCAGAUUUCAGAUGCAUGGGUUUCAGUGGAACUCUCUGUAAUUGUUCGGCGGUGAAUGAAAUGCACUCUGUACCUGCUCAAAGACAUUUUCUUCCGUCCCUCUUCUAGUCUCUUCAGGAGAGUGGGAAUCAAGUGUAUGAGAAUAGAUGAAAGCACCCCCCCAUCUAAUUAGGCAGGAUAAUUUGUACUGUCAUUUUGAAAGCAGGAGGGGAAAAAUAUUUAGGGGGCAAAAUGUCUAGAGACAUCCAUAAAAUGGGUUUUGUGGAGAUUUCAAGGAACGCAUACAAAAGGUGAAAACUUUCUGAAUUGAGUCUUUUUUUCUUUACAAAAAAGGACCAACACAAAUUUUAGCCAUGGGUUUGCCUUUUGGCAAACUACACAGAUCAUGUAUUUUAGGGAAACGUUUCCACAUGUAUGCAUCUGUGGAAAUUCAUUCAAAAGCGACCUUGUUGGUGUAAAUUAUAUUACAUCAGUUCUGGCUCAUACAUUUACAUAUGGUCCGUGCCUGACUGAUUUAUGUAAUGAACAAGUUUUCAGCUUCUAGUGGAUUGAAUGCGGUAGUGAUGAGGACCCUGCAAAAAUGUCCUGCCCUCAGUAGGAAAGUGUGUCAUCUGUGUAUGGUUUAGGCAUUAGCCAGAAGAUUUUUCUAGAGUAUGGCCAUGGUCAGAUUAGUGGUGUCCAGCUGCCCAACUGUUCCAGGACAUAGAUGUGCAAAAUGCUUUCUAGAUGUUAAGUAAAAUAGUCCUCUUUUUUUUUUUAAAUGAUAUUUAUUAAAGUUUCAAAGAAUACAAAAAAUACAGAAUACAGAUAAAAGAGUAAAGUUUUUAAAAUAUAACAAAAAAGUAAAGAAUAAAAAAGAAACAUACAAAGUAAAACAGUUAAAAAGACAUUGAUUUUCCAAACCUAUCUUCCCUGCACUUAUUUCCCCGGACCUCCUCAUACCUCCCUUUUUUGUAUUCCAGUUCAGUUUGUUAGUUCAGCAAACCCUUACCAUUAAACUUUUACCCAAUUGUAAACCUUUUUUCAUAUCUCUUAAAGCAUUACAGCUAAAAACCUCUUAGUUUCUAUCCAACAUCCUUCUAAGAUUCCUGACUCGCAGCAACCUCGGGUAGUCCUCAAAGCUUCAUAGUCAGAAAAAAAUGUGGCGCAGAGGGGGUGGAGGAGAAUGGUGCAAGGAUUGUUGGACAUAAACACAACCCUGUGUUUCCCCUUGGAUGCACAUUGCUACACACAAAUUUAGAGAUGUGCCCUCUCUUCAGAAGGGCAGAAAAACACAAACCUUUUCUAACAAUGCACACCUGUCCUGCUGUGUGUAGCAGAAUCUUCCGCCUGCACAGCUUGGGUAGAAUGCUGUGGAUUUUGGCACCAUUCUUUUGUAAUCCGGAAUUUUCCAUCAGCUACUUUGCUUGUUUUGCAGAGGUGGCGGUGGGAGUGAAUCAGCGUUCAUUUCGGAACUUUGAUUUUGUUCCUCCUUCAGCACAGACAAUUUGAGCUCUGUAAUUACAGCAAAUUACAUUCUUAAAUUGACAUGGAGCUUUUGAGCAAGGGUCUAGCUAGCCCGAAGGCUGGUUGACAGGAUAAACAGCCCAGUUAUCAAGAAGGCAAUGUGGCAGGGUGCCAUUGGUGAUCUCAGGAUACCAUUUCAGAUUUCAGAGUGGGGUAGGGUUUUUUUUGGGGGGGGUGUUAUGGCAUGGAAAAGAAGAUUCAGUAGGGUUCAAAGUCUGGCUAUUCACUACCACUGCAAAUGGCAAUUGAUUUCAACCACAUACAUCUGGGAUUUUGUAAGAAAAAAGUAUUUAGCCAUCACUGUACUUGUUUUAUCAUUGCACUCACCCCAUCUCCAUUAUUUUGGUUAAAGCAAAGGAAUGUAUGCUUGUGGCACAACAGCCUUUAAAUAUUCUGUGAAUAAAGAUAAGUGACUUUAAACACCAGGGAAGGGUGCAUCUUUCCUGAAUGUUGCCCCAAUGGUGUCAUGAAGUUGAGAGAUUGGCAGGUUUUGAAACCUACAGAACAUAUGGUGGGACUUGGGAGGAUUGUUACAAAGAACACCUUCCACACCACAGUUUACUGUGGAUUUGGUUCUGUUCAGGCACUCAAGCUUUGUGAAAUGUCCCUAUGGCACUGUCCUCAUCAAAAUGCUAUUCCAUAUCCCCACCCCGAAUUUAAUCCCAAUGUAUCCAGCAUUGGUCCUUAUUAAUUUUUUUGUUGGAUUAGCAUUUUUAUGUAUUGUGUACAGCUAGUGUUUUAAAUUUUCUUUGGCUUUAAAUUCUUUUCAUGUGCUUUUUUUUGUCUAGUCACUUUGAGACUUUUUACUGUAAAAAGCAACUAAUAAAUAAAAAAAAAUAGUAAGAGUAAAACUUCAAUGUUGUACAAAGGUAAUCGCUCCAGCAGGGCAAGUAUUUUGUCUUGCCAGACGGAACAUUUCCCCUUCUCCCCCCCCCCAUGUGCUGUUUCAGGGUUCUCCUGACACCCCCCCCACCAUGGGGGGGGUGUUUUGCAGAAGGAGAGAAGAGGAAAGCCAAGUUGCACAAGAGGAAGUCCUUGCACAGGUUUCUGCUGACAGGACUGUUUAGCUGAAUCUGCCCCCCCCCCAAAUAAUAAUUUACCAUUUCGCUUUAUUAUUUUAAAAUGAAGCACUUCCAGAUGACCUGUUUAUUGAGCAUUCAUCCUGAUUUGUUUGAGGGCGAGGCUAGAUGACACUGCGUUGAACACAGACGGAUUUAUAAUGGUGCAAACGUUGCAAUUGCAAGAGGGCCUGUGCCUGCAAGGGAUUCCAGACAUAGAGAUUUCAAUGAAAAAGAAGAAACAACCCUUUAGCCCUAGUAGAAGGAAAGUUACAAAGCAAAGUGUAUAGUUUCCGUUCAUUCUGAUUGGACAGUGGGCAGAUCCACACCAUAUAUAUAUAUUUACAAAUUUCCAAAAAUCAUAUAACAUACUUUCUUAUCUUAUACAAUGUUUUGGACUUCCAUCAACCGCAUCUGAAGAUUUUUCAGUCUUUAUCACUUAAUCUACAUUUCUUAAUUUCUCUAUUGCUUUUAAUUAUCCUUAACUAAUAACUCUCUUCAUAAUCUCUGCAAUACGUCACAUAAUCCUCCUUACAGAACUUCUUGGAGUCCUACUAGCGUAAUCUGUUUAUUACAAUUGCUUUUCAAAUAGUUCAAAUAUUUCCUCCAGUCCUCUGAGAAUCUCUGAUCCCGCAGGAUUUGGAUCCUUCCUGUCAUCUUAUCUAAUUCUGCAUAGUCCAUUAAUUUUGUCUGCCAUUUUUCUUUCGUCGGUAGGUCUUCUUGUUUCCAUUUCUGUGGCAGAUCCACACCAUAUAUUUAAUGCACAUUUAACGCCCCAGAGGAUCCUGUGAAUUGUAGUUUGUUAAUGUAACUGAGAAUUGUAGCUCUAUGCAAGGACAACUACACUCCCCAGGAUUCUGUGGGGGGAUUUGUGUGCUUUAAAUGUGCAUUCGUUACGCUUUAAAUGCAUGGUGUGGAUUUGCCCUUAUUUGUGGGGAGGUUAGACACUGGGGCCCAUCCAGACUUCCUUUUGUGCUGUGUUUCUGGGCUUUAAAGCUCCAUGUCUGAGCUUUCCCUAGGAAAACCAGAGUAAAAGGAUGUCUGGAUGAGCCCAGCGCUGUGUUAUCCCCACAUUUUCCAGUGCAUUUUCCUCUCACUUUUCUUAUUUGGGUGUGCAUGUUUGUUUUGCAGGAUCUCCCAAUCCACUGUAACUGUGAGAUUUGAAUUUGCCAGUAUGCGACUGAAUCCCACCCCAAAAUAAUGGCAGUCUGGAAGUGCCAUUAGCGAAUUUUCUGCAGAAACAGUAAAUCCAGAUUCAGCUGGAAAAGCACAUGGGGCGUUUUGAUGAAGAUGGUGCUGUGCAAGGGCUGUGCAAGACUUGUGUGCGUGAAUAGCACCGAGACCGCAAUGAACUGUACGUGAGGAAAGGCUAGGAAGCAGAGAACCGAGAAGGCGAGGAAGGACGGAGCAGAGGACAGGCUCAGCCAAAGAGGUGUGGGUCACCGAAGAAGGAGGGUGACAACUUAUACUCCAUUCUGAGCUGAUGGGAAGACAAUGAGCCAUAACGGGUCCAUGUAGCCAAUCGUGGACUCACAUGGCAAGCGGUGUGCUCUGUAACAAUGCGUAACAACAUCGCAAUGCCUCUGUGCCUCAGGAAAUAACACAUGGAUGAAUGUGGCCAAUAAGACAUCGCACAGCACAUGGAAUGACAUUGCAUAAUGACACAUGAUGUCAAGGUGGUACUGAGAGUCGAGGGCUUCCGAAGGAUUCAAACAAUCCACAAUUCAAGGGUAGGCGGGUAGGGAGCUUUUAUUUUGGGGGGGGGAGAGGGACAUGGAUUCAUGCUAGUGAGUGAAUGGCAGAGUACAUUCCCCAGUAUAGAGCAGGAAGCUCGUUGGUAGAUUUGUUUGAAUCUCUUUACUUAAGCAAUCUAAUCUGGCUUGUCCAGAUUGGGUUUGUUCCUGGUAAAUCACCUUUGUUCCCUCUUAAAAAGAAUAAAGACACAACAGUCUUCUAUUAAAAGUAAUGAUAAGAAGUUUACUCACAUUCAGUUCACAGUAGACGCGGGUGGUGCUGUGGGUUAAACCACAGAGCCUAGGACUUGCCGAUCAGAAGGUCAGCGGUUCGAAUCCCCACGACAGGGUGAGCUCCUGUUGCUCGGUCCCUGCUCCUGCCAACCUAGCAGUUUGAAAGCACAUCAAAGUGCAAGUAGAUAAAUAGGUACUGCUCCAGCAGGAAGGUAAACGGCGUUUCCGUGCGCUGCUCUGGUUCACCAGAAGUGGCUUAGUCAUGCUGGCCACAUGACCCGGAAGCUGUAUGCCGGCUCCCUUGGCCAAUAAAAAGAGAUGAGCACCGCGACCCCAGAGUCGGCCACGACUGGACCUAAUGGUCAGGGGUCCCUUUACCUUUACCUUUUAGGUUCCCUGAAGGCAGGCUUUAGCUUGUAGUUACAGUGGUACGCUUCAGGUUACAGACUCCACUAACCCAGAAAUAGUACCUCGGGUUAAGAACUUUGCUUCAGGAUGAGAACAGAAAUUGUGCUCCGGCGGCGCGGCAGCAGCAGGAGGCCCCAUUAGCUAAAGUGGUGCUUCAGGUUAAGAACAGUUUCAGGUUAAGAAUGGACCUCCAGAACAAAUUAAGUUCUUAUCCCGAGGUACCACUGUACAGAAGAGAGAGUGGGUUCAUCCCAUGAUACAUCAAGAUGGGAUAAAACGAAGAAGGAGGGAAGAUGGCUGUGUGACCAGCUCUUUUAUGGGGUCUUCCAGGGUCACGCCCAUCUACCUGGUCACAUGCAGGGGGAGGAUGCUCCAGAGAGGUGUGAGUCCAGCAUUAAAAAUCUGCACAAUUAAUCCUGGCAUCGAGUUAAGACCGAUUCAUUCUACAGACUUUGUGGAUUUAACAUCACACCAACUUUCUCCUCCUUACCUUCCCAAUUUUAUUUAACUUCUCAUCUGAUAUCCUACAGGUCUGGCAGGGUUUUGAAGGGCUUACACAUGCCUGGAAAGCCUGUUUAUUAGAAACAACAUUAGAAGGCUCGGUUCAAGCAGCAGGCGAUGAGACUUCCUUCAUGGCAGAUUCAGCCAGGGGCAAAACUCGGCUUUAUUUCACCCGGGUCAAGGACUGAGUUUGGCACCCCUGCCACGCACAUUUGCGUACACACAUACACAGACUGAGAGACUCGGAGGCCUCUGGAGGCUUCACCUGGGGCUAAAAACCUGGCUAGAUCACAGCUACAGCUCUGCCUUCAACCCAGGGGCAUAGGAUUUAUUUUAGGGAGGGUCAGGUUUUAUGUUGUGGGGUCAGAACCAAGUUAUGUGCAACACAAUUGGUCAGUUAGUUAAGGAUUUUUAUUUAUUUACUUGAUUUUGGUGGGGGGGGGGGCAGCUGCCCCCUCCUGGCUACACACGUGCCUUCAGCUCUGAAGUAUGCUUCAAGGUAAAAGUGGAUUACAACCCUUGCUCCCUGGCCUGCAUUGCAAACAGGAGAAAAAGCAUUAUAUUACCCCUCUGCAUCUUUUUGCAGAUUGUGAGGACAAAAGGAGUUAAAGCAUGCUACCUGGGACUUUGUUUGCAUGGCAAUCCUGAGUAACAGCUCUCUGCCUUGUGUCCUUCACAGGCAUGUAUACAUAGGCAACUGUGCUUGUGCACCCUGAGGCAAAAACAGGCGUUCAGACAGGCACAUCCUAUCAGUCAUGGAGAUAUUUGAUAGGAAUCCUUUUGGGAAUCAAAGUGAGGCUCAGGGUUUGUGCAUGCUGUGGGAGUGCAUGAGCGUGUGCGAGCAAGUGUAUGUGCGCGCGCAUACACACACAAACCACGACAGCAAGAGUGUGUGAGCAAGCAUUAGUAUGCGCCCUUUAGCUGCCAAGGGGAAAUUGUGCAGCUUAAGAAUUGCAGCUCUGUCCUUCACUGGGAUACACGCACAGACUGCAUGCCCAGGUGGCAAAGAACCACGUUUUCUCUGGAUUUUUUUUUAAACAGAGGUGGAUAGGAUCCAUUGAGCCCAGGCAAGACACUGCAAGAAGUCAAGGAAAAUCUUGAAUUGUGUGUUUGUAGACCACAUCUUAGGGAUGUCUUAACCCAAGGUACUACUUCCGGGUUAGCAGAGUCUGUAACCUGAAGUGUUUGUAACCCGAGGUACCACUGUAUUAUUAAUUAAUAGGACGUCCCUAAUUUCAUCAGGGGACGCGGGUGGCGCUGUGGGUUAAACCACAGAGCCUAGGACUUGCCAAUCAGAAAGUCGGCGGUUCGAAUCCCUGCGACGGGGUGAGCUCCCGUUGCUCGCUCCCUGCCCCUGCCAACCUAGCAGUUCGAAAGCACAUCAAAGUGCAAGUAAAUAAAUAGGUACCGCUCCAGCAGGAAGGUAAACAGCGUUUCCGUGCACUGCUCUGGUUUGCCAGAAGCGGCUAGUCAUGCUGGCCACAUGACCCGGAAGCUGUACACCGGCUCCCUCGGCCAAUAAAGCGAGAUGAGCGCCGCAACCCCAGAGUUGGCCACAACUGGACCUAAUGGUCAGGGGUCCCUUUACCUUUACCUAGAGACAUCUUAACUCUUAGAUAGCCAACACAGCACCCUUGAAAUCCUGUUAGACUCCAGCUCCCAUCAGUCCCAGUCAGCAUGGCCAAUUGUUAAGGAAGAUGGGAACUGUAGUCCAGCGACACGGUUUGGGGAGGGGGCAGACCAUGUUGGCUACCUCUGUCUUAACUAUAAACUGUUACAGACACAUCCCUGGAUUUGGUAGCAACAACUUUAGGGGCAAGAGAACAUAAUGCCAUGCCUACACAAGCUUUUUAUGUGCUGACAGCUUGGGUCUUGCUGGAAGGAGGGUAUACCAUGUUGCAUGGCAUCCCUUCCCUGCUGGAACAAUGUUCCUCAGUCCAGUGUAUCUUGUGGGGUGAUGGUGGGAAAUCAGGACAGCUGUUGAAUGGUUUGUGGGAAGUGAGCAACAUCUGGGCACUGACACCUCUCCCCCAAGCCGAGUGAACAUACAACAAUAUGAUGGUGAUGAUGAUCGUGGUAAUACUUAACAUUCCUAAAGGGCUUCCAAGUAUUAUACAUGCUUUGAUUCUGUGCACUAUCUUGCUGCAGUCCUUACAACAAAGAUGUAAGGAGGGUGAUUCUUGGCAGCCACAUCUUGCAAAUUUGGGGAUGGAGAAGUGAAGCUCAGAGGGAGUAGCUUCACUAAGGCAAUCUGGUAAGCUCUUGCUAGAGGUGAGAUUGGAACCAGAGACGAUGACCUGAUUCAUAGCUCCAUCUCUUAGUCACUACACUACCAGCUCUCAGAGAUUGUCUGCAUUUCAGAAUGUGAAGGUUGUCCUCCAAACCACUUUGCUGAUCUGGAGCUGUAUGAGGGCUAGGCGUAAACUAGAGGACCUUGAGCACUCCUUCUUGACAGUGUACACAUGAACAGGGGGUCACCAACUUUUGAAGGUUCACGGGCACCUUUGGCUUUCUGAACGAGUGUCAGGUGUGCUCCCUGUUUGGAUCGCUUCCCAUGGGGACAGAAAGUGUGUGCACAUGCGCACUUGGCUUUUCUGAGCCAGAUUUGUAAAAGCCGGGUCCAGCAGAAUUAAUAUGAGCCUUGAAAACGAUGCAGUGGCAAAAAGGAGGAAGUGGGAAAGAACGUCACUCUUCCAACUUCGUCCUAUGUACUUUGCAAGGAGGAGAAAGCUAACCAUUCUUUAAAUAAAUAAAUAAAUCCCUGCUUGUCACGCUCCCUUCGCAGUAGCACAGGAGUCCUUUUCUCCCAUUGCUCCGUGUGAUGAGUUCUCCCAACUGCUUGGGCUCCUUGGUUCCAUAAUAUGGAAGCAACUGCAGAAAGAGGCUUCAGGGCAUCAUUUUAUUACAGGUCGGGCUUCUUAACGCUAAGAAGAGUCCUGCUGGAUUAGGCCAGUAGCCCAUCUAGCCCAGCACACCGCCCUCAAAACGGCUAACCAGAUGUAUUUGGGAAGCCUGCAAGCUGGACAUGAACGCAACAGCACUCUCCCCCUCUGGCCAUUUCCAGCAACUGGUGACCAUAGCUGUCAACUUUCAGAUUUGAAAAUAAGGGAUCAGCAGCCCCGAAAAUAAGGGAUCAGCAGCCUCACCUGUCCCAGGGACAGUCUACGGGAUAUCUAACAAUCCGGGAUAGCAGUGGGAAGCAGCAGGAAACGGCGCUGGAAUAAGGGAAUUUCCUGCAAAAAAAGGGAAGGUUGACAGCUAUGUUGGUGACAGUGGAGGCAAGACGCAUCCAUCAGAGCGAAUAAUCACUGAUAGCCUUGCAGACCCUGCAAGUGUCCCUAUUUUCCAGGCACAGUCCCAGAUAUACAGAAGCCGUCCCGGUUUCUGAUUUGAUCCCAGAAUGUCCCACUUUUCUUAGGACGCCCCUAUUUUCAUCAGAUAAAUGUUGGAGGGUAUGGAGUUAUCCAACCCUGGAGCCAAGGAGAUAUGUACCUAUAAAACCUUUCAAAGACUUCUGAAGGCAGCUCUGUAUAGGGAAGUUUUUAAAAAAUGUUUCAUGUUUUAUUAUGUUUUUAUAUACAGUGGUACCUCGGGUUAAGUACUUAAUUCGUUCCGGAGGUUCGUACUUAACCUGAAACUGUUCUUAACCUGAAGCACCACUUUAGCUAAUGGGGCCUCCUGCUGCCACUGCUGCGCCACCGCUGCACGAUUUCUGUUCUCAUCCUGAACCAAAGUUAUUAACCUGAAGCACUAUUUCUGGGUUAGUGGAGUCUGUAACCUGAAGCGUAUGUUACCUGAGGUACCACUGUAUGUUGGAAGCCACCUAGAGUCCUAUUCAUUACAGUGGUACCUCUGGUUACGUACUUAAUUCAUUCUGGAGGUCCGUUCUUAACCUGAAAGCAUUCUUAACCUGAAGUACCACUUUAGCUAAUAGGGCCUUCUGCUGCCGCCAUGCCACUGGCGCACAAUUCCUGUUCUCAUCCUGAGGUAAAGUUCUUAACCCGAGGUACUACUUCCGGGUUAGCAGAGUCUGUAACCUGAAGUGUUUGUAACCUGAAGUGUUUGUAACCCGAGGUAAAACUGUAUUAUUAAUUAAUAGGACAUCCCUAAUUUCAUCAGAGAAAUGUUGGAGGGCAUGGCCUUAUCCUCCAUGCAUUUGCUUAAUCCUCUUUUGAAGCCAUCCAAGCUGAUAGCCGUCACUGCUUCCUCUGUGAGUGAGUUCCAUAGUUAUUCACGGUGUGAAUAAGCUCUUCCUUUAGUCCUCCUGAAUCUUCCAAGAGUGGGUAUUCCCUGAGUGUUAUUAUGACAGAGGGAGAAAACCAUUUCUCUAACUGCUUUCCCCAUGCCAUGCAUGAUUUUAUACACUGCUCUCAUGCUCCCCCUCUUACCUGCCUUUGCUCUGAACUUAAAAAAAACACACCAACCCGAAUAUUGUAACCUUUCCUCAUAAGGGAGUUGUUCCAUCCCCUUGAGGCAGUGCAAUCAGAGAGAGAAGUUGAAAGGAGUAAUAAAGGUAAAGCUGCCCUUUGAUCAUCUCUGGGUUUUUAAAACCCUGUCAUGAAUAUCUCCUGCAAAACUAUACAGUAGGGGUAGGAAACCUGUACCAUAGGAAGUUUCUCCUAAUAUUCUGUUGAAAUCCACGCUUCUGUGUGGAGGUAGGGCAUCUGUUCUCAUGCAGAAGGUCCUAGUCAUAAUUUACAUGCUUCUAGUUGUGCUUUUAGGGACGCAGGUGGCACUGUGGGUUAAACCACAGAGGCUAGGACUUGCCGAUCAGAAGGUCGGCGGUUCGAAUCCCCGCGACGGGGUGAGCUCCUGUUGCCCGGUCCCUGCUCCUGCCAACCUAGCAGUUCGAAAGCACGUCAAAGUGCAAGUAGAUAAAUAGGUACCACUCCAGCGGGAAGGUAAACGGCCUUUCCGUGUGCUGCUCUGGUUCGCCAGAAGCGGCUUAGUCAUGCUGGCCACAUGGCCUGGAAGCUGUACGCCGGCUCCCUUGACCAAUAAAGCGAGAUAAGCGCCACAACCUCAGAGUCGGUCAUGACUGGACCUAAUGGUCAGGGGUCCCUUUACCUUUACCUUUAGUUGUGCUUUUGUGACCCACCUUUGAUGAGGCCAAUAUCCAGCUGUGGGUCCUGACAGUGGCGUAGCCUGGCUUGCUGGCACCCAGGGCAUGCGUAAAUGGAGUAUAAAUGGAGCCCAUUGUGCCAGCCCAGCCCUCACCAUCAAUGGUGCUGGAGCGAGCCCUCACCAGAGGAAAAAAUGGGCCCGCGCUGCCAGACCGCACGGGGGGAGCCCGGCCGGAUGAUGCAACCCUGGGAGGCAAAUCCCCCUGAAGCCCGCGGAGACAAGUGGUGGGCUGGGCCACUCUGGGAUUGCCCCUUGCCCGCCUCCCUCCCUCCACGUCCAACUGGGGACUGCGUCAAGCAAGGAGCAAGUGAGUGCUGGCCUGGCAGCCAUUCAGCAAGGGGGCCAGGGUCGCAGAAGUGAGGCUAGGCUGGUCUCCGGGGCCCAGAGACCCCCCCAGCGCCAGACAGGGAAGGACGGGGAGCUGGGGACAGUGCUUGCCAGGAUGUGCCUAGCUGGGACAGGGAUCCCUGCAGAAGCCAGUGCCUGUGUGUGGGCACCUGGUUCAUGCCCCCUCAAAAUUGCACACCCGGGGCUAUGGCCCCCCGUCCUCCCAUGCUAUGCCCCUGGCCCUGGGACCAGUUGAAGACUAAAAAGGUAAAGGGACCCCUGACCAUUAGGUCCAGUUCUGCCCGACUCUGGGAUUGUGGCGCUCAUCUAGCUUUAUUGGCCGAGGGAGCCGGUGUACAGCUUCCGGGUCAUGUGGCCAGCAUGACUAAGCCGCUUCUGGCGAACCAGAGCAGCGCACAGAAACGCCGUUUACCUUCCCGCCGGAGCAGUACCUGUUUAUCUACUUGCACUUUGACGUGCUUUCGAACUGCUAGGUUGGCAGGAGCAGGGACUGAGCAAUGGGAGCUCACCCCAUCGCGGGGAUUCCAACCGCCGACCUUCUGAUCGGCAAGUCCUAGGCUCUGUGGUUUAACCCACAGCGCCACCCGCGUCCCUAGUUGAAGACUAGUGAUGUACAAAAAAUUGAGCUGGACCAAAGGCCUUGACUUGGUAUAACACAGUUUCCUAAGAUCUAAUCCUUCCCUCUGGAUCUCUUCAGGGAGAUGGCAGGUUAUUUACAGCCAGUGUAACAAGGACUUCAGCAAAAUCUAUAGUAUAGCUUGAAAAAGGCACAAAGAAGGCAAGAGGGAUGCCAUUGUGGUUAAGCGUCACACAGUCCCUUGUUUAUUUAUUACUUGCCCUCCUCCUGCAAGGUCCCAGGUGGGUCACAACAUUUAAGUGCACAAUUAAAAACAGUUUAAAACAAGUUGCAAUCAUAACAGUGGGUGGGUCCUGAAAAGAUAUGCAAACCUCAAGUGUCAAAAGCCAGGUCAAGGAUAAAGGUCAAGUAGACUUCCUCCCCCCGCUAAAACUAUCUUCCAAGUGACAUCAAAUGAAGAGAUGUAGAAUUAUCUGCCCUUAGAAGAGGCUCAUGAGAGGGACACAAGGGCUGGACAGUAAAUUACAGUGCACAGGACUGAAACAGAAACCCUCCUCUGCAGAUUUGGCCUCAGGGCUGCCUUUCAUGAUUUAAGACAUUUCUCACAGCUACCCUGCUGUCUUUUGAACCAGCCCCUUUACCUGUCCUGUUCCUUUAAAAGUUGCUGAUCUGCAGCGAUUAGCAGGUGGGUCCUGCUUUAGCUCCCAAGCUAUGGAAAGUUUCACCUAUUGCUUUCUGCAAGUCAAACCUCUAUUAAAGGUACAGGAGCAAGUCAGGACGUUCCUUUCUUGUGUCCCAACUUUCUUGGCCAGCUGGCAUUCCUGACUGACCGUUGCAGGAUGGAAAACUGAAGGGAAUGGCAUGUCCUGCAAGAGGGCGUGUCUGUUUGUCUGAAACCCUGAAUAGAAACGCUCUAUACGGCAACAUUUUUUGGGGUGGAAAGAGGCAGGAACGGAAAAACCCAUGCAAAAUGGUCACCGCCUGUACGCUAAAACACUGCAGAAGCCUGGGCGCAAGGCGCACACCAGUAUUUACUUGGCACCAAUGUGGUGACAGCUUCAGCAACACCCACUUGCAAAGGGAGGGUAAAACCACAAAGGGGAACCCCCCCCCCCCACAGAGAAGAAGGCUGCUGGGAUUCUUGCAGAAAAGGCUGAAUUAAUGCGUCCGGAAAAACCACUUCUUCUGUUCUUAAGCGAGUGUGCAUGCUCAGGGUCACUUAUCGCCCAUUCUGCUUUUGCUUUUAAAAGAUCACAAGCAUGCACCCUGGCUUUGUAAAUUGAAAGCACAUCUGUGGGCCACAGGAAAACCCACAUAUAUGCUUUGUUUUAAAGGAGAAGACCACUCCAAGGGAGUCCACCCCCAGGGCUAAUGUUCAAGCAUGCAUGCACGCACUAAAUUAAAAUGCUGUUGGCUUUUACUCAGAAGAAGAAGAAAGAAGAAAAUCUGGCUUUACUGAAAAACAAUCAGGCAAUACCAUGAUUCCACCUCGCAACAUUUAUGGCACCAGGCUUUGGGGUCAAAAAUAGAGUGUCUGGUUGGCAUUUGUCAACUCACUUAGAAUUGUGGAAUUGUAGAGUUAAAAGGUAGGGACGCGGGUUGCACUGUGGGUUAAACCACAGAGCCUAGGACUUGCUGAUCAGAAGGUCGGCGGUUCGAAUCCCCAUGACAGGGUGAGUUCCCGUUGCUCGGUCCCUGCUUCUGCCAACCUAGCAGUUCAAAAGCACGUCAAAGUGCAAGUAGAUAAAUGGGUACCACUCCGGUGGGAAGGUAAAUGGCGUUUCCGUGCGCUGCUCCUUCGGCCAAUAAAGCAAGAUGAGCGCCGCAACCCCAGAGUCGGUCAUGACUGGACCUAAUGGUCAGGGGUCCCUUUACCUUUACCUUUAGCGUUGAAACAUACCCCCAGGGUCAUCUAGUCCAACCCUCUGCAAUGCAGGUAUCUCAACUAAAGCAUCCAUGAGAGAUGGCCAUGAAACCUCUGCAUAAAAACCUCAAGGGAAGGAGAGUCCAACGCCUGCCAAAGGAGUCCGUUCCACUGUCAAACAGCUCACUAUCAGAAAGUUCUUCUUAGUGUUUACGUGAAAACUCCUUUCCUGUAACUUGAAUCCAUUGGUUUGAGUCCUGCCCUCCAGAGUAAGAGAAAACAAGCAUGCUCCAUCCAUGUGACAGCUCUUUAGAUCUUUGAAGAUGGCUCUCAUAUCUCCUCUCAGUACUCCUCUUUUUCAGGCUAAACAUGCCCAACUCCCUGAAUCGUUCCUCAUAAGGCUUGGUUUCCAGACACUUGAUCAUCUUGGUCGCCCUCCUCUGCACAAGUUCCAGCUUUUCAAUUGUUGUUGUUUAGUCGUGUCUGACUCUUCGUGACCCCCUGGACCACAGCACGCCAGGCACUCCUGUCUUCCACUGCCUCCCGCAGUUUGGUCAAACUCAUGCUGGUAGCUUCAAGAACACUGUCCAACCAUCUCGUCCUCUGUCGUCCCCAUCUCCUUGUGCCCUCCAUCUUUCCUGACAUCAGGGUCUUUUCCAGGGAGUCUUCUCUUCUCAUGAGGUGGCCAAAGUAUUGGGGCCUCAGCUUCAGGAUCUGUCCUUCCAGUGAGCACUCAGGGCUGAUUUCCUUCAGAAUGGAUAUGUUUGAUCUUCUUGCAGUCCAUGGGACUCUCAAGAGUCUCCUCCAAUACCAUAAUUCAAAGGCAUCAAUUCUUCAGCGAUCAGCCUUCUUUAUGGUCCAGCUCUCACUUCCAUACAUCACUACUGGGAAAACCAUAGCUUUAACUAUCCGGACCUUUGUUGGCAAGGUGAUGUCUCUGCUUUUUAAGAUGUUGUCUAGGUUUGUCAUUGCUUUUCUCCCAAGAAGCAGGCGUCUUUUAAUUUCGUGACUGCUGUCACCAUCUGCAGUGAAGCUUUUCAAUAUCCUCCUUAAAUUGAGGUGCCCAGAACUGGACACAAUAUUGCAGGUCUGACCGAGGCAGAAUAGAGUAGUACUUUUGCUUCUCUUUUUUCUGGACAAUAUACCUCUGUUGAUGCAUCCUAGAAUAGCAUUUGUUUUUGUUGUUGCUGCAUCACACUGUUGACUCAUUUUAAGCUUGUGGUCCACCAAGACCCCUAGAGCCUUUUCACACAUACUACUAGCAAGCCUCCAUCUUAUAUUUGUGCAGCUGGUUUUUCCUGCCUAAGUGUAGAGCCUUACAUUUGUCGCUAUUGAAAUUCAUUUUGUUAGUCUGGGCAGUUAAGGUCAUCUUGAAUCCCAAUUCUGUCUUCUGUGGCAUUAGCUACCCCUCCCAGUUUGGUGUCACCUGCAAGUUUGAUUAACAUCCACAGAUUUGGACUAUAAAGAAAAGACAUAAAAUCCACACAGAAACAUUUUAUUUGGACUUAAACACACUUGCAGAAUGAACGCAGAGGCUGUUGAAAAUAAUGAAGGAUUAACAUCAGAAUGUCUUAAGGGAGUUAUUGUAAUAUUUUGAAAUGCAAUAGAACUACGGGAUGAUUAGGAUUCCCUCCGAUCUCGAAGCAUGGGAAGUCAGCUAAAAAAUAAUAAUAAUUUAUAAUUAGGCAUAAAAUUGGAAUUUGUUUAAUCAUUGGAUAAUUUGGAAUAUAUAAUUUGGUUUGAUUGGAAAAUUUCAAUAAAUAUUAUUAUUAUUUUAAAAAGUUUGAUUAGCAUCCCCUCAAUUCCUUCAUCAAACUCAUUUAUAAAGAUGUUGAACAGCAACAGGCUCAGGACAGAACCCCACAACACCCUACUUGUCAUUUUUUCCAAGAUGACAAGAAACCAUUAGUGAACACUCUUUGAGUUCGGUCAGUCAACUAGCCACAAAUCCACCUUACAGUAACCUCCUCCAGCACACAUUUUACCAACUUAUCCACAAGAAUAAUGGGGGAGUUUGUCAAACACCUUCCUGAAAUCAAGAUACGUUGUGUCCACAGCAUUUCCCUAACCCACCAAAAAAAGAAAUGAGAUUUGUCUGGCAUAACUUGUUUGAGAAAGCCAUGCUGGGUCUUGAUAAUCACAGCAUCCUUUUCUAAGUGCUCACAGAUUGAGUGUUUAAUUAUCUGGUCUAGGACCUUUCCUGGUAUCAAUGUCAAGCUCACCUGUGUCUUCCUUUUUCCCUUUUUUGAAGACGGGGACAUUUGCCCAUAGGGAAACUCACCUGUUCUCCAAGAAUUCUCAAAGAUAAUAGACAGAGGCUCUGAGAUUAAACGCUGAAGGCAGAGAGAAUUUAAAGAAAAAGUCCCAGAUGGAGCAUUCACACAAGUAUGGAAUGUUCAGUGCCAGUUGGAAUGGAGUAGCCUAGAGUUGGGCAUGGAUUGCAGGCUGGGAUCUUGGACGGAAGCACUGCUGAUAGAAAGUAAGGAUAUACUGCAACGUUUUGUUGUAGGUUCUAGCUGUGUGCUGAUGUUCUUGGGAAGUUUCCUGUGCUAUCAAAUGCAGCUGCCCAUUCUCACUUGCUACCUCUUUUGCCUGAAACGCCACCCCCUUUGUGAAGCCAACCGCCCCCUUUCCCAUGCUUCCUGUAAAACUCACCUUUUCAGAGAAGCCUGAACUUAAAUGAAGCCCAGGUGCUUAUUGCUGCUUCUGUGCACAUUCACCACUCAUAAAGCUUGAUUGUUCAAUUCCAUCCUUCUCUAGGCCCCCUCUUGUUAGCUCUGCCCACUGUCAGGAUUUAGAUUGACAGCGUGCUCAGUCUUUUUGCUUGUAAUACUCUUGUGAAGUGCUAUAUACACAACACUAAUAACUAUUCCCCAAAUUCCACUGGGUCAUCCCUCAACUAUAUCGGGCAAGCCUAAACACCUGGCAUCUCUACAUCCCUCACUUCAUUCAUUCAUUCAUUGUGAGUUGUUAAUCACCUUAUAUGGAAUGUUAUAUAUACGGUAGCUUCAGUCAUAUUCCACUGGAUGGCUCAGUUGGUUAGAGUGUAGUGCUGAUGACACCUAGUUUGCAGGUUCGAUCCCCAUAAGGAAUAGUUACAUAUUCCUGCAUUGCAGGGGGUAGGACUGGAUGUUCCUUGGGGUCCCUUCCAACUCCAUGAUUUUAUGAACCCAGUUUCAAGGUGAUGCACCAUCUUAAGAAUAAAAGGUAAAGGUAAAGGGACCCCUGACCAUUAGGUCCAGUCAUGACCGACUCUGGGGUUGUGGCGCUCAUCUCGCUUUAUUGGCCGAGGGAGCCAGCGUGCAGCUUCCGGGUCAUGUGGCCAGCAUGACUAAGCCACUUCUGGCGUACCAGAGCAACGCACGGAAACGCUGUUUACCUUCCCGCCAGAGCAGUACCUAUUUAUCUACUUGCACUCUGACGUGCUUUCAAACUGCUAGGUUGCCAGGAGCAGGGACCGAGCAACGGGAGCUCACCCCGUCGCGGGGAUUUGAACCGCCGACCUUCUGAUCGGCAAGUCCUAGGCUCUGUGGUUUAACCCACAGCGCCACCCGCGUCCCUAUCUUAAGAAUAGUAUCCAUGAAUUACAAAAUGUAGUAGUUAAAACACAAUGAAGAAAUGUACUAUGACUAUCAUAUCAAUAACUUAUCACACAACAAAUAAUUUCCAGAAUAUUAAGGGAGAGAAAUUGUCCAUGCAUAUUAAAAUAUCUUUGCAGAAAACAGCGGGAGGGGCAAAAUUAUCACUCCCCUAACCAGCACAGUUCCAGUGUUGCUGUUUCAUGCAUAUCAUAUACAUGUGUGUACGCAUACAUACAACCGCGUAACCUGCAUAAAUGCCGGCUGGCAACACUUGCCAGGAAGAGUCAGUCCUCUGGAAUAUGCCCCUGAGUUGCAUCAGGCCUAGCAGAUGCCGGGUGUUCCUCAGGCCAAUAGAUGGCGCCCUCUGCACAAGGCAGCUCUUAGCAGCCAGGGAAGGUGGGGGAAGCGACUUCCACGCAGCAGCUGGAAGAAAACCUUAACCCUUCCUGUUUCUCAGCUGUGCUGAGAGCAACACAAUUUUUCAGGGCUUGCAGAGCAAAGGAAAGUCAGUGGAACUAGAUGCCAACCCUCCCACAGGAAGGGGAAUUAGGUAGGUGGGACCCUUUUCUACCUGUGCAUAGCUGCACACACCUCUUGCCAAAGUUAUCUGUCCUGCGGAUCUCUUGAAUUUAAUAAAUAAAAAUAAAGCCAUGGGAGUCUGCUCUUCUUUUGCAGCUGGGCACCCUGUCAGCAGUUGCCUUGAUGAAGUUGAGCCUCUGAAGCUUAGAUCUGGGAAUCACUGGCCAGCCCUGGAAUAGCAUGCCAUGCAAGAACAAUAUCUGUGCCACCGCAAGCCCCCUGGAGGAAGGUUACAGCACACAGAACCAUUUCCCCUUAUUUCAAAUGUUCAGGUGUGAGUGCCAUUGUUUAUACAGCCGAAACAGCUCGACCCACAAAAGGGAGAUGUCGGCAGACAUGGAGAAAUCCUGAGAUCUGCAGUAGAACAAGUAUAUAUAUUUUGGAGGAAGACAAAGCUAAAUCAUAAGGGUGGGAUAAAACCCCAACGUAGUCCAACUGAGCAUGCUUAGUUGCUACAGAAUGAUGACUCGUCGGGAUGGAAUGAAGUAAGUUGGAGAGGGCAUGGCUUACUGACUCGAACAUGCCAUGCUGCAACAUUUUGUUGCAGCAGGACACCUUUGUACAUGCAAUUUCAGAAGCGGUAUACGAACUUCUCAACUCUUAAGUGGCACUGCCAGCAGCCAAGUCAUGCUGAAAAAAGAAAGUUGUGAGAAAAUGAGGUGCUUUCAGGGUACUCAAGCAGUGACCCAUUACAUCCUGUGCUAUUUAGGCAAAUACACUUUGCUUAUGCUCAGAGGGGCACUUUAAUUCCCCCCCACACACACACAUUCUAGAAUGGAAUACUUGUACUAAAAAUAGAUCUCAAGGGCAAAGCUCUGGCUCAGCCCGAAGCCUGAAUUUUAACAGGAACGAGAAGGGCUGUCUCCAAUUCUUGCAUGUCAUGACUGAUAAUGGCGAGCGUUUGUUCUCUUAUUCUGUUAUCUUACUGCAGGGGCUGGAGGCAGUGUGCUUCUGCAGAUCAGUUGCUGGAAACUGCAGGAGGGGAGAGGCCUGUGCGUAAGCUCCUGUUUGUGGGCUUCCCAUGGGCAUCUAGUUGGCCACUGUGAGAACAGGAUGCUAGACUAGGUGGGCCACCGAUCCAAUCCCCUGGGGUUAUUUGAAUGUUCUUAUCUUGAGAACUUCACAGCGUACAGAACAGUUGCAUUCAUAUCCAAAUGCGGUGGGGAACCAGGGACCCUCCAGAUGUUAUUGGUCUCCAAAUCCUAUCAACCUCAGCCAGCAUGGCUGAUAGUCAAGGAUGUUGGGAGUUGCAGUCCAACAACAUUCGGAGGGGGGCAUAGCUGUCAACUGUCCCUUAUUUGGCAGGAAACUCCCUUAUCCUAGCGCCGUGUCCCGCUACUGUCCCGGAUUGAUGAUGUCCCUUAAAUUCCCCGGGUUUCAUGCUCGCCCGGCUCAGGAGGGAAGCAGCAGCUCAGGGUCUUCCGCCGCGCACGAGAGAGCGUGCACGAGCUGCCGCGUCUCCGUCUCUCCCCUUUCCCCCUCAGGGGGGCAUCGUGAGGAGACGGGUGGCGGCAGGCGGGCAGGCAGCCCCUCUCUUGCGAGACUUCUGCCGCGCUGCCAGGGGAAGCCAGAGGCGGCUGAGGAGGCGGCCUGAGGGAGGAGGAAGAGGAGGGGAUGGGGAAGGACGCAGAAGGGUGGCGCUUCAGCGGCCGCCACGGCACUGCAAUUGCCUCAUGCCGGGCUCGUGGGCGAGAGUCUCUCUUCCCCCCUCCCUCUCUCUCGGGUGGGGAAGGGCCGAUGGAACUCCUCGCGCCAGGACGACGGCAGCCCCGACGUGCAUAUCCCUUAUUUGGGCUGCUGAUCCCUUAUUUUCAAGGCUGCUGGUCCCUUAUUUUCAAAUCUGUAAGUUGACAUGGGGGGGCAGGUUCCCCACUUCUGAUAUACCACCGGCAGAUCAUCGCAAAAUAACACAAGGAGGAACACAACCUUCUCCACUCUAUUCACACACCAUGUAUUUCUACUAAAGUCUAUUUUGUCAUCACCUCUUUAUUCCACUUUUCCUCCAAGGAGCUCAAGGUGGCAUAUAUAUGUCCCUUCAUUCUGUCCUCACGACGACCCUGGAAGGUAGGUUGGACUGAGAGAUGAGAAUGACUGGUCCAAGCACACUGAGUGAGCUUUGUGGCUCUGUGAGAAAAUUGACUCUCCCUUGUGUUGUUUUUAACUCCUCUAACAGCUACACCCCAUAUGCCAGACUUGUAACCCAGAUAUUGCACCACCUUUACCUUUAACAAUGCAUAGCCAGGGGAAGAUGGGGCUCCCUGCCCAGUUCCUUCCAUCACCCAUCCUUCUCUCUGCAAAACUGGGGUUCUGCUUGGUUUAAUAGACAAACUUGUUUCAGCCAUCCUUUUACAAAGACGGUGAUAUAAACAUGUGGAUUUCAUAGGUCACUAGAAUGCCCAAAGCAUUUUUCAUUCAUUAGCUCACCCGUCCUUAGCACAGCCCUGCAAGGUAGGUCAGUAUUAUGUCGUCCCCCAUUUUGCAGAUGUGGGGGGUGGCAGCUAGUGCAAAUCCUUCAGGCAGGACCAAGUCAGCAUUCCAGUCCUUUCCUACAGCUGCGCAAAGCUGGACUGGCGUCAGCUGCUCUCAGGAUGGCGUAUUGAUUUUUGGAAACAGUUCAUUUAUAACCAUUGGGUAGUUGAACUUUCACCCUGUCAUUUCCUCCUGAUGUUUCUGGGAAUUGCUGGAGAGAAGGCUUUGGGGCUUAUUUAACAGGAGGUUACAGGAGCCGAGCAACAGCAAGCAAGGCAUGUUGGUGGUUUAACACACACUUGCCUUCCUGGAGAGGGUUUGGCGAGGGCAGCCAGCCCAGGCAGAAGGUGGCACCGGCUACAGGCUUGGCUGGAGGAAAACUGACAAAGUGGGAGUUUAGCCACAGGCCAGCAUUAUUAUUCUUUGCCAGUUUGGUUUAGUUUUUAGCCACAGGUGGGCUUAGCCCAUGUCCGGGAUUUCCAUUGUUCUAUACAGCUCAGCAAGUAGAUGCCAAACUGAAAAAUCUGCGUGCCAAAUGGCAAAAGCUCUUUGCAGGCUGAGUUGAGAGAUCUUAAUGGGUGUUAGAAGAUUUCACUUGAAGGUGCUUUGACAUUUAUAGAUGAAUUUGUAUAUCUAUAUUUAGCUGUAUAAGCAGUGAUGGCUGGAGCACAUUGAGGCUGGUAGAGUGGAAAGCGGGGAGCUCAACAGAAGGUGAAAUCAAAGACAAUGACAAGCAGUGCCACUCCCUGGGCCUGCUGUAAGUAAGAAGACAGGCAGGUGGUGGCUGGCUGAGGACAGACUGAGGCUGGUGGAGCAGUGCCCCAUUUGCCCCUAAUAAACUUGCCCUGCAUAUAAUGCAAUUCUCUUUAGCCCAGGGAUGAGCAACUUGGGGCUCUUCAAGAUGUCAGGCAAAGGUAAAGGUAAAAGUAAAGGUACCCCUGACCAUUAGGUCCAGUCGUGGCAGACUCUGGGGUUGCGGUGCUCAUCUCGCUUUAUUGGCCGAGGGAGCCGGUGUACAGCUUCCGGGUCAUGUGGCCAGCAUGACUAAGCCGCUUCUGGCGAACCAGAGCAGCGCACGGAAAUGCCAUUUAUCUUCCCGCCGGAGUGGUACCUAUUUAUCUACUUGCACUUUGACGUGCUUUCGAACUGCUAGGUUGGCAGGAGCAGGGACCGAGCAAUGGGAGCUCACCCUGUUGCGGGAAUUCGAACCGCAGACCUUCUGAUUGGCAAGCCCUAGGCUCUAUGGUUUAACCCACAGCACCACCCACUGGAUUGCAACUCCCAUCAGCCUCAGUCAGCACUGUCAAGGGAGAGGGGUGAUGGGAGUUGUAGUCCAACAACAUCUGGAAGGCCGCAGGAUCCCCAUUCCUGCUCUAGGAGACACUGCGCUGAACAGAGUCCUUAAAAACCCCCCAAUAAGGUUAUGGAGAUCUUCCAAAGCAGACCAGACAAGCACCUGCCUAGGAUGUUGGGACAGGGAUCCUUAUACUCUAGAAUACAGAGCCAGAGGCAUGGGAUACAUAUAACCUGUUUGCUCUGUUCGGCCAAGUUUUGACACAAGCUGCUGCCUUAAACGGAUGUUUGGUUCCAUUUAGCCCAGCUCUCCAAGAUUGCAAGCAAAGGUCUUUCCUCGUGCUGUUACUGCUGAGAUGCUUUUAAUUAGGUGCUAGGGAUCGAGUCUGUCAGACAAAGCACCUGCCCAGUGCUGGGCUAGUCUCCUUCAGCCAGAUGUCCUUUCGCUCAUCAGAAGGCCUGUCAUUACCUUGGGAUGGCACAAGCCAGGAGGAACCGCUCUCGAGAGGCCAGCAGGGUAUCUGCACCUUCAAAAUAUUUGUGUCUCAGAGUGACUCACAGCUCUGAUCCUUUGAACACCUACUUGAUGCUAGCAACCCUGCACACAAGAGGCCAUUGCUGGGGAGAGGGGAGUCUGUUACGACAGAACUGAUAAGGCCUGAGUGUUGACAGAAGCAAUAACGAGGCCUGUCCACUUCUGCUCAUUAUCAGGUGGCGGCAGGGAUUAUUCUGGAAUGCAAAGGGAGCGAAGGCAGCAUGUGCAGAUCAACACGCUCUUCAUUCCCUGGAUUCUCUCCGUUAUGAGGACCUUUGGAGAAUGAGAACUGCUGCGGAGUCCUGACUUGGGAGAGGGGAAUCCCAUCAUUUAACAAUGCUAGCUGCAUUCUUCACACAUGGGCAGCUUGGGUGCAGU